GACGAACGCUGGCGGCGUGCCUAAUACAUGCAAGUCGAACGAGUGGCGGACGGGUGAGUAACACGUGGGUAACCUACCCACAGAGGGGGAUAACUACUGGAAACGGUGGCUAAUACCGCAUACUAUCGGAUGAACCCAUAUGGGAUUAGCUAGUAGGUGGGGUAAAGGCUCACCUAGGCGACGAUCUCUAGCUGGUCUGAGAGGAUGAUCAGCCACACUGGGACUGGGACACGGCCCAGACUCCUACGGGAGGCAGCAGUGUGGAAUAUUGCACAAUGGGCGCAAGCCUGAUGCAGCGACGCCGCGUGGGGGAUGACGGCCUUCGGGUUGUAAACUCCUUUCACCAUCGACGCGGUAGAUGGAGAAGAAGCACCGGCUAACUACGUGCCAGCCGCCGCGGUAAUUC
rnacentral:rRNA from 1 species